GUACACGCUGUGACUAGCAUAUCAAUAAGCGGAGGAAAAGAAACUAACAAGGAUUCCCCUAGUAACGGCGAGUGAAGCGGGAGGAGCUCAAAUUUGAAAUCUUAAAGGGUUUCCCUUUACGAAUUGUAGUUUAAAGAAGUGUUUUCUGUUGAGGUUUUGGUAAAAGUUCUUUGGAAUAGGACAUCAUAGAGGGUGAGAAUCCCGUAUUUGACCUUUACUUUCAACUUUGUGAUACACUUUCAAAGAGUCGGAUUGUUUGGGAAUGCAGUCCAAAAUGGGUGGUAAAUUUCAUCUAAAGCUAAAUAUUGGCGAGAGACCGAUAGCGAACAAGUACCGUGAGGGAAAGAUGAAAAGAACUUUGAAAAGAGAGUUAAACGGUACGUGAAAUUGUCAAAAGGGAAGCGUUUGACACCAGUGUUGUUUUUCUGAAAAUCAAUUAAAGAACUGUUUAUGCUAAGUUGUUUAGACUUUAUCAGCUAUCUGUUUAGUUUUGAGCUUUUCUUUAAUGCACUUUUCAGUUAACAAGUCAACAUCAAUUUCUUUUGCUGUAAAAAAGCUUGAGGAAGGUGGCUUGAGAUUCGUCUUAAGUGUUUAUAGCCUCUUGCCUAUGCAGUCGGAGAGAUUGAGGUCUGCAGCGUAGAUCCUUCGGGGCUAAAUGCAUUUGUGCUAAGUUAUAGCAUUUUAUAGACAACUUGUUGACUAUGAUUUGUCUUGUAGCUUACUCGCUUAUGUUAUUUUACCUACGCUUAGGAUGUUGACGAGACUGUCGAUCUC
rnacentral:rRNA from 1 species